ensembl:lncRNA
UUUAGGUUGUGUUAUAAAGUAACCAAAACCCAACGUCGAGCCAACGUCUCAAGCCAACGUCACAUUGACAUCAAAUACUGAUAUUUAGUCGUCAGGUAUGGCAACCAUAAUCCAACGUUUCCUAGACGUCAUAAUGGCAACGUCCACACAACGUCAAAUUAAAACAUCAUUUGAUGUUGAUCUGUAGUUAGUUUUAGGUUGUGGCAUUAACUAACCAAAAUCCAACGUCGAGCCAACGUCUCAAGCCAACGUCACAUUGACAUCAAAUACUGAUGUUUUGUCGUCAGGUAUGGCAACCUAAAUCCAACGUU